GACGAAGGAUGCAAGCGUUAUCCGGAUUCAUUGGGUUUAAAGGGUGCGUAGGCGGACCUGUAAGUCAGUGGUGAAAUCUCUUCGCUUAACGAAGAAACUGCCAUUGAUACUGCAAGUCUAGAGUAUAGAUGACGUUGGCGGAAUAUGACAUGUAGUGGUGAAAUACUUAGAUAUGUCAUAGAACACCGAUUGCGAAGGCAGCUAACGAAACUAUAACUGACGCUGAGGCACGAAAGUGCGGGGAUCAAACAGG
rnacentral:rRNA from 1 species